rnacentral:lncRNA from 1 species
UCAGCAUGGCUGGCUUUCCUUGCACUGGGUCGUACUGGGCGUUUGGCGUUUUCUUUUUCCCCAUGGUGUCAGGCAGAGCCCGAGUUGGCACUGAGGCGUCUGCACUGGGAGGCGAGGGUGACCAGGAAGAAGGACCAAAUGGGAGAAGAUAAGGGUACAGAGAAAAGGACACAGCAUAGCAAGAAGAAAUGGAAUGAGAACUUUUGGUGCAGAUUGAGAGAGGUAAGGGGUACAAGGGUCAUAAAAAUAAAAAUAUAAAAGCAUAUAAAUUGUAAAGCAAUUUAUUGUUUAUAAAGAAUUUUAAUAUAUGUUAUCUAAUCUAAUCUUUAUAAACCUUACUAAUGAUGUCUUAUUAUGUACAU